GACGAACGCUGGCGGCGUGCUUAACACAUGCAAGUCGAACGGUGAAGCUCCAGCUUGCUGGAGUGGAUCAGUGGCGAACGGGUGAGUAACACGUGAGCAACCUGCCCCUGACUCUGGAAUAAGCGCUGGAAACGGCGUCUAAUACUGGAUAUGAGAAGGGUCCGCAUGGACACUUUCUGGAAAGGUUUUCGGUUGGGGAUGGGCUCGCGGCCUAUCAGCUUGUUGGUGAGGUAAUGGCUCACCAAGGCGACGACGGGUAGCCGGCCUGAGAGGGCGACCGGCCACACUGGGACUGAGACACGGCCCAGACUCCUACGGGAGGCAGCAGUGGGGAAUAUUGCACAAUGGGCGAAAGCCUGAUGCAGCGACGCCGCGUGAGGGAUGACGGCCUUCGGGUUGUAAACCUCUUUCAGCAGGGAAGAAGCGAAAGUGACGGUACCUGCAGAAGAAGCACCGGCUAACUACGUG
rnacentral:rRNA from 1 species